GAUAGAAAACGGAAGGAAUCUUUUACUAUUUGUGGGGCACACAGCACUCAAGGGUUCACUAUAUAAAGAGAUUCAGUCCUUCUCUCAAGGAGUCUGGGGACAUCGGACAGAGAUCAGUCCCAACCUGCGUGGACAUGUUUGAGAAUUACUCCUUUUAUUAAAGCAAAACCUCCCGGCCAGACAAUUGUGUUUCUUGAAGAAGAGAUCACUGUUUUUCUAACUUCUGUGCCUAACUCAUCAUCAUGCAGCUUCUCCUGGGGCUUUGCUUCUUCUCCGUCCUCCUGACUACAGAUGUCCAUUCUUGGGACAUGAGUAGGCCUUAAUCACGCCCUGGGUCAGGUAAAUGAGUGAGGGUCCUGAGGUAGUUCCGUACAGUGUUCACAUUGUAUUUCAGUUUAUGUACCUUGCUCUGGUGCAAAGGAAGAAUGUCCUGCUGGGGCUGAUGUCUGUAUGAAUUUCAGUUUGCAACAUAAAGAAAAGAAAGAGAUACAUGCCAACUUUGAAACUUGCGCUACAAAAAAGUAUUGUAAGAAAGUGGAAGAUCUGAUAGGGAAGCCUUCCCCUGAAGUCAUGGCUGCCAUACCUGGUUUCCCAGGAGACGUUACAAUUAAAGAGGUCAUCUGCAGCAAAGCCCCUCCCUCCUUUGCAUCGUUCUUCCCAGCAUUCCUUGGGCUCCUCCUGAUGAAGCUUCUCUUCUAAAGCUCCUCCUUCCACCCAAGAAGUUGUCCCCUUUCCUUGGCCUGUACAUCCUCUCAAACUGAUGAGGCAGGAUCUUUGAUAUGAUGCUUAAUCUUUUCCCAAACAGAAACCAGUUAAGCAGAAAGAAAUAUAAUCAGCAGCUUUGAAUGUGUGUUUGAACUAAAAAAAGAUGGUGUAAUUCAAAUACCCCCCCCCCAAUAAAUAAUAGGAUUCCA